rnacentral:lncRNA from 1 species
UGUAGAAUUUUGGAAAACAUCUGGAUUCAGUGCAGUGAAGAAUCACCUGGGGUAAUGAAGUCUACAACAGGAACAGACUUGCCUUGGAAAUAAAUUACUGCCUCAUAAGGAGUCAUCUACAAUUUUAUCUUUGGAGGAGGUGCAGGGGAGUUACGGAGAAGUGCGGGAUAUGGGAAAGGGAACCAGUGAAAUGACAAUGAAGAGGACCAAGGAUUCUUCUUAUGUUUCUGCUCAUGAGAUGUGAACCUCGACUGAUUUGUACCAAGUUGUGGAAGAGUGAUUGCUUGUAUUUCUGCUAGAAAGUUUUUGCAGGAUAAAGGCCGUCCCCUGCUCUCCUUUCCUUCCUCUCUCCGCGUCCCAUGUGGGAUUUCCGGACGAAGCCUUCUCCCUCGGUCCCUGCUCACACACAGCAAAGCCACGACCAGUGACUUUCUUAAGGAAGAAAGCGGCGCUUCACCAAGUUCGGCCUUUCCCAGUUCUGACAUUUUGGCAAAUACCAGCUACGCGCCUCUCUGCAUCUUCAUCCUCGACCCCUGGGACCCGGGGAACAGGACCGCGGCCACACCGGGCUGGCCGCGGGCGAGCGAGGCGCGUGGCCGGGCGCGGCUCUCCCGCGAGCGCACUUGUCGGGCAGCAAAGCCUGCAGACGAACAGGCCCGCAAACGUCGGCCCCUCCGCGGGCGGCGGCGGCGGCCCCCAGCGCCCCACU